rnacentral:ribozyme from 1 species
UAACACCACGCCAAAGAACAAUCCCAACCAUGACAUCAAUAGCAAAACAAAAUGCAUAGAAAUAAGAGAAAAAUUCAGAUGCAUGAAGGCUUAUUGUUUUUAAAUGUGUUUUUUCCAUGUUCACCUGU